AGGGCCGCGGUAGCCACCGCCAACAAGGGAGGCGAUCUGACCCGGGGACCCGAAGCAAGACCCGGGCGAGCCUAGAGGAAAUGAUCAGGGGAAGAGCAAACAAGAAAGACGAAGAGAAAGAGACCCUUCUCUAGGGGGUGGCCCAGCCCCUCAUCUGUGAAACGGGGCUUUUGAAUCAGGGAUCCCCGAGGUCCCAUCCUAUAAUGACAACCGUGGUUCUAAACAGAGUGGAAGAGAAGAAGGGGAGAAUGAAGGGGUCGGACAGAGGGAACAAUGUGCCCAGAGACUCAGGUAACGGACGCUUCACAGGGACCUGCAAGUGUGGCUGGGUGACUUUGAGCUGCGCUAGCUGCUCACCUGUCCCCGACAAACUUGCCUCCCGCAGCUGUUGACACCCGGAGUAACACAGAGUCUCCCCGGCGCUUCCACACUCCGGAUCUCCUGAGACCCAGGAUCCCAAUUCCAAAUCGCAUCCACGCGGGGUGUCUUCCCUGCGUGCCAGACCCAGCGGGCCUCGGAACCGCCGGUCUCACCUCGUCUGCGCCCUCGAAAGAAGCAGUGGAUCUGGGAACCGUCCUGGCGCCACAGAUAGGUGAAGCCGGGAAGCCAGGGCAUGGACUACGCGAUCUGCGGAGUUGAUAGCUGUAUUUACAGGCGUUGGGAGCAGCGCCCCAAGGUGGGGGCGGGGGUUCCCGUCCUUCCCCACCCCUUAGGUCGAGUUUCAUGCACACGUGACUCGCCUGUUGGUCCCCAGAUACUUUUCUUACCCAGUGCGCCCGGGGCGCCUAAAUUUCCACUCUCGACCCCCAGCUUCUCUGUUGACCCCCUGAACUAACGUUUGACAGCAUUCUCUACAUCUUUGUUCAAAACAACCAAAAACUUGGCUGAAGUUAAACUGGAUGCUGGAAAGGCUAGGGUGGGGUCUUGAACUGUGAAGUUGAAAAGGAUUCUUUUCCAAAAGAGUCGGGAACUCUUUUGGAGUUUAUAUGCUCCAGUUAAGAGUCUGCAUUUUGAAAGCUGUCUAGCCCGAGUUACCUUGGGCAACUUAAUCUCUCAAAGCUUGUUUCCUUCUCUAUAAAUUUGGAUAACAGCAUUUGCCGGCCUGUCAAGAGGAGAUAGAAUUAGGAUGCAGUAGUAAUUAAUGCUGGGUACACUUGACUUGGUGAGCAUAAUAAAUGUUCAUUGUU
rnacentral:lncRNA from 1 species